CACGUAGGGCGCAAGCGUUGUCCGGAAUUAUCGGGCGUAAAGAGCUCGUAGGCGGUCUGUUGCGUCCGCUGUGAAAACUCGGGGCUUAACCCCGAGCCUGCAGUGGAUACGGGCAGACUAGAGGUAGGUAGGGGAGAAUGGAAUUCCCGGUGUAGCGGUGAAAUGCGCAGAUAUCGGGAGGAACACCGGUGGCGAAGGCGGUUCUCUGGGCCUUACCUGACGCUGAGGAGCGAAAGCGUGGGGAGCGAACAGG
rnacentral:rRNA from 1 species